AUUAUGGCUCAGGAUGAACGCUAGCGACAGGCCUAACACAUGCAAGUCGAGGGGCAGCACAAGGAGCAAUCUGGGGUGGCGACCGGCGCACGGGUGAGUAACACGUAUGCAACCUGCCUGUAAGCGGGGAAUAACCCGUUGAAAGACGGACUAAUACCGCAUAAUACUAAAUUACUGCAUGGUAAUUUAUUUAAACAUUUAUGGCUUACAGAUGGGCAUGCGCAUGAUUAGCUAGUUGGAGAGGUAACGGCUCCCCAAGGCAACGAUCAUUAGGGGUUCUGAGAGGAAGGUCCCCCACACUGGUACUGAGACACGGACCAGACUCCUACGGGAGGCAGCAGUGAGGAAUAUUGGUCAAUGGACGAGAGUCUGAACCAGCCAAGUCGCGUGCAGGAAGAAAUGUCCUAUGGAUUGUAAACUGCUUUUGCAGGGGAAUAAAGUGAGCCACGUGUGGUUUUUUGUAUGUACUCUGCGAAUAAGGAUCGGCUAACUCCGUGCCAGCAGCCGC
rnacentral:rRNA from 1 species